rnacentral:tRNA from 1 species
GGGGCUAUAGCUCAGCUGGGAGAGCGCUUGCAUGGCAUGCAAGAGGUCAGCGAUUCGAUCCCGCUUAGUUCCACCA